CAUCGACAAACGAUAACGAAAGAAAUUUACAGUCUGGGUUAAUCAUAGAGUACAAAUAAACAUACGGAAUAAAAUAUAAUUAAAUUAAAUAGAUAUUAAAGGAAAUUAAAUAUUUACUUUCUAUAAAGUGUAAAUAUUGCCUUUAUAGAACGAUGAAGAAAAGGCUACGGUACUCGUCUUGGCCCUGCGAGGAUCUCCACUAGAGCUGCUGCAGACCAUGCCAGUUACAGACUAGAAAUACUAGAGAGUAUUGGUAAAGACCCUCGAGCUGAGGUAUGGCGACCGACACAUGGGCUAGGUGUAUAGAACAGCCCUGAAGACAUGUCAGCGAUCUUCUGAAACACUCCAAGAAUUCGAAGUCGACAUUGAGCGACUCGUCCACCUCGCCUACCAAGAAGCACCAACGGAGUUCCGCCAGCAGCUAGCCACCAGUGGUUUUAUAGACGGGCUAAGAGAUGUGGAGCUUCAGCAAACUCUUAGGUUGGCCCGCCACAAAAACAUUCGCGAUGAUCUUGUUCACGCCCUGGAAAUCGAAGGUGCCUGCAUUGCCACAAGUUUAAACAUAUUUAUUCUUAGAAAGCAAACUACUGUAAACUAACUAAUUUAACAUUGUUACAUGCGUUUUUACAUAUAAGGCAUGUUAUUAAAGGCUUGGUUUGUUGAAAAUUACAAUUAAUAGUUAACUAACAUAACUAAUUCAGAGUUGGUGUUUUUAUAAACAAUAAUCGCAAACAAAUUUUCCUCCUUCAAAGUUCGAGCAGUCCUCAUGCCACCAUAUGUGGCAUUUGCAACACUCGAUCCAAUCUUCUGAUGGAGGGUCGACAUAAAUCUCAUCACACGCAAGACACUGCACUUCGGAUAUUUGAGCUGAAGUCAUGCCUGGCGAAAGUUGGAGCUUCUUGGAUUUUUCUCGAGAAUCGAACUUCAGUUUCUUAGUAACAGUUCUUUUUUUGCAUCUCAAGACUCAUGUCUUUAUUGCUUCAAACGUUCUUGUUCUAUCCUCUGAGCUUUGCUCUGAACCAGCAUCGCUUUCAUAGGUGAGCUUGUGAUGACACUUGCACAUUGCUUAUGACUUAUCCUUUUUCUCACAUAUGAUCUUUCUUUAGGCAAUGGUUUGAAAUCGAAAACACUUCGGCACAGUUUUGGCUCAACAGGAGUAGCAUUUCUUAUAGGCCCUAUCUUAAUGAGAGUAGCAUUUCUUGAAAGUCCUGGCUCAACGGGAGUAGAAUUUCUUGAAGGUCCUGGCUCAAUGGAAGCUGCGGGAGAAGUAUUUAUUGAAGGUCCUGGCUCAAUCGGAGAAAUAUUUCUUGAAGAUCCUGGUUUAAUGGAAAUGUCAUUUCUUGAAGGUCCUGGCUCAAUGGGAGUAGCAUUUCUUAAUGGUCCUGGCUCAAUGGAAUUAGCAUUUCUUGAAGGUCCUGGUUCUUCAGUUUUCUCUGCCUGAUGUUCAUUAACUGCUUUUUCCAUAGCAAGAUCAUGAUCGGUGGGGUUCGCUGCAGCUAAAUCAUGCUCGGCAAACACAAGGGGAUCAUAAGGUUCGAUUCCACAUUCUCGGAACCCAUUGACUGCAUUACCGACUGUAGCUGCUUUUAAAUAAGCAGUGCUUAGUAGCUCACCAAUUUUUUUGUCAGUUAUGGCUUGCCCUGGAUUAGUGACCAUUAAGUUGUCACAAGCUUGACUGUAAUAGGUUUUUAAUGGCCCAAAAAAAGGAAACAUCCAGCAUUUGAAGACGAUGGGUAGUUUGGGGUGUAAAUCUGACCAUAACGAUGUGCUUUCCCCGCAAAAGUUUAUAGCCUCCAGUGUUACGUGUGUUUUAUGGUUGUCAACAAGCAACAGCACGUGAAAUUCACUGGUUGGUUUCACAUGUAGUUCGAAAUGUUUCAAAAACAACACAAAUAUUUCUCCAUUGCUCCAACCAUUAUCACUGCAAUGUCCAACGGUUCCCGGAGGGGCUCUUUCCACAAGUUCAGGUCGCAUCCGUUUUCUUGCGAAAACCAAAAAAGGGGGCAGGUAAUAUCCGCAAGCAUUAAUGCAACAAAUAAUAGUAACAUUUCUUCCUCUCUCUGCCGAAACGAUCUUGGAAACACUCUUACUUCCUGUGGGUGAAAUAACCUUUGGUAGCCUAUUAGAUACAGUGGAAAGUGCAGAUUCAUCUGCAUUAUAAAUGGCAGAAGCUGGAAAUCUAUGUUUUUCCCGCACUUAUUUCAAAAUUAAGAAAAACUUGUCAACAUUUGGUUUGUUAAAGCCCAUUGCUCUGGCAAUGGAUGUUUCCUCUGGUCUCCGAAAACUGAACUAACAUUUUUUCAUAAAACUAGCCAACCAAUCCUCACCUGCCAUCCUGGUCUCCACAUUGAACGGAUGCGAAAUUCCACUAUAUCCUGCAAAGUAAAACACAAGUUUUCUACAUUGCUGCUUUGUCAUCCCAAAAAACAUGUUAUCCAUUGCUGUCGAGUAGUUCCUUAAAUAUUCUAGCUGCUCUUCAGUGAAAACUUCUCUAAAUCUUCCACCAUGAAUAGGCAUUUCCUAGGAAGAAAAUACAAUUAGGUAGGCUAAAUACUUUUUAAUUUGAAUUUUUGUUUAAUGAAAGCCUGUAGGGCAUGAACAAUUAAAAAACAACUGUAAAAAAGCACUUGGGGCAAGAUGACGAGUCGUCAUCUUGCCCCAGUCAACUUGCCCCGAUCAGCAAUGUUAUUAGUAUUGGAUUUUUUCGCUAGGAAAUAAUAUAAAAGGUUAACAAUAUAUAGUGGUUAAGAAAAGUAUAUUGUCUAAGGUAAUAAUGUGUGGCAUUGAAUAACCAAAUAUCUUACCUGUUUGUCCAUGAGAUAUUACUUCGAAGUUCUUGAAAAUUACAAUACGUCAGACCAAAUGUACGAACAUCAUCUAACAAACAACUAAAUGGUGGCAGCGGCUUCACUGUACGAUUAUUUAGUGCCCACCAGUGUGGAGCGCUAGUAGUGUCUGUUAGGUGGUGCUAUCUAAUAACAUGACGUGGAACUGUCAUUCGUCGUUUUGCCCCGCUCGUAAACUUGCCCCGUCCUCCCCUACAUCAUAUAGGAAAAUUUGUAAAUAUUAUGCUAGAAAUUCGGGAAAAGGCCCAAAAUUAAUCAAAUAAUUUGUAUAUUUUAAUAAAAAAUGAUAGGUUCGAAAAAAUAAAACACGGCAAUUACAAAACAGACACACAGUACAUACAACAACACACAUUACACACAAACAGCUCACUACAAAUAGUCCACACAAACACACACAGAACACACAGGACAAACUGUUAACAUAGAACAAACAGUACAUACAAAUGACACACUUACACUCAAAUUGCACACAAUACACACAGUACAAAGGGAGCACAGGCAGUAUAAAAGCCAGCACAGACAGAACAGACAGUAUAAAAGAUAGCACAGGCAGCACAAAAGGCAGCACAGGUAGAAUAAACUGCAGCACAGGCAGCACAAGCAGCACAAACGGCUACACACACAGCACUACCGGCAGCACAGGCAGCACAGUCAUCACAAACAGCAGCAGUGGCAGCACAAAGAACGCUCAGGUACACUCCAGGCAAACUCAACGGAUGCUCAGGAACACUCAAAGGACGCUCAGAUACACUCAGAGCAAACUCAACUGACGUUCAGGAACACUCAAAGUACACUCAAAGGACGCUCAGGUACACUAAAAGUGCGCUCAACGGUUGCUCACAGGAACACUCAAUUAUGCUCAAAGGACGCUCAGGUACAUUCCAAGCACACUCAAUGGGCGCUCAGGAACACUCAAAGUACGCUGAAAGGACGUUCACGUUAACUCCAAGCACACUCAAUGAGUGCUCAGGAACGCUCACAGUAUGCUUAACAGAUGCUCAGGUACUCUCCAAGCACACUCAACGGACGCUCAGGUACACUGCAAGCACACUUUACGGACGUUCAGAGAACACUCAAAGUAUGCUCAGGAACACCCAAAGUGCACUCAACGAUUGCUCAGGAACACUCAAAGUGCACUCAACGGAUGCUCAGGAACACACAAAGUACACUCAAAGGACGCACAGAUACACACAAAGUACACAUAAAGGACACACAAAGGACACGCAGCUUUAAAAUUUCCAAUAGCUUGCAUAGGUCUAACUGCCCAAGUACUCCAACUGCCCAAGUGCUCUAACUGCGACAUAAUUUGACUACCAAAUUAUGCAACUUCGAGACAGCGCCACGAAGAUACGAAACUUCGAGGCUGAUUUCCACGUAACGCUGUGACAACGAGAUUUACGAUCACGAAGUUACGCGACUAUGAGAUGUAUAGGAUCUCGCUGCUACCUAGCUACAAAAUUUAGAAACUAUAUGGCCACGAUACUUCGUCGUUGCAAGACUACGAGUCUGCAAGGCUCCGACUGGAGCCAGGUCUACAGGGACACAAGGCUACAUGAUUAGGUGGAUACAUGGCUACGAAAUUUCUUGGCUACAUGGUUACUUGGCUACCUAGCUACGUGAUUAUAAGACUUAGGAUAGCGAAGCUAAGCGACUACGAGACUUCGGGUGGCUUCAAGAGUCGUUCCGAGAAUUCUCCGAGUGUGAGUGGAGUUUGAGCCGAGGAAUUUUCAUUGCACAGUCGAGAACGGAGUAAAAACGAAGUAAUACCCGAAUGAAACCGAGUAAACCGAGUAAAAACGAAGGAAUAUUGGAGUGUACGCGCAGCUACACUCCGAGGGCCCUCGGAGUGCCCUCGGAGUGAAAUAUGGAAAAAAAAUUCAAUAUGGCUGCGUUUUUAGAACCAAUUGUUGUGGAAUUUCUUGAUUUAAUUGAUGAAGUAUUUCUAGAAAAUGAAGAAAGAAACGUUGUCAGGGACCCACGUCGGUAUUUGAGGGAUUUUAAAAAUCCACUGGAGUGGUUUAGUGACGUGCAGUUCAAACGACGAUAUCGUUUUACCAAGGAUGUUGUUAGGCAUCACAUUCUGCCUUUGCUAGUGUUUGAAGAACCACGGAGUCGUCGAGGAUUACCGCUACCGCCUGUCCUGCAGCUGCUAAAUGCCUUGCGAUUUUACGCAACAGGCAGUUUCCAGGUAAGCAGUCAGAAAUCAAUACCUUUUGUUUACAGUAAUACCAUCUCUCACUCUUUGCCUAGGUUAGCCUAUUGUGCACUUCAGUAUGUGGUGUUUAAUUUGUGGUUUGCAUAGGCACAUAUCGGUGCAAUGUGAAAUACUAUUUACGGAUGAUGACAGGCGGUAGCGAGUCCACAGUUUCCCGAAUUAACAGACGUAUCUCUGUCGGUUUAGCGCAACAUACACGACAUCUUAUACGGUUUCCCACUGGCGAUGAAUUUCGAUUGAACAAGCUACGAUAACACUUUCCCGGUGUUACAGGAGUGACUGCACCCACAUUAAAAUCAAAAGCUCCGGCGGUGCUCGGGGAGAAGUAUACAGAAAAGGAUAGCGCAAGUUGUUGCUGGGGCUUCCAUGGAAAUAUUCGAUAUCGUGUGUCGCUGGCCUGGCAGCGCACAUGAUAGUCGAAUAUUUAACAGCAGUGGGCUGAAAGUCAAAUUUGAAGAUGGGCGUGUGCAGGGACUGCUGCUGGGAGACGGUGGUUACCCACAGUUGCAAUACCUGUUCACGUACAGAUGCAGAGCAGAGGUACAACAUGGCUCAUGCUCGGACGAGGAAUCUGGUGGAAAGGAUGUUCGGUGUUUGGAAGCAGCGCUUUCCCUGCUUGCAGCUUACUUUUACGAAACAAGCUGCAGACAACAGCAGCUAUCAUAGUUGCCUGUGCCAUAUGUCACAACAUUGGUAUCAGGCACAUUGAUUAUGUGGAAGAAGCUGAGCUGCAGGCAACAAUGAUGUGCAAAUCCCACCAGUUCCUCCCCGACCUGGGCGCGCAUGGCCAUCAGGAACGAGUUCAUCAUCCGGCAUUUCAGUUAGCUGCUUUGAAAUGAUUUUUACACACAUUGUUUCAUGUGGGUUUUUGAAAUCCGUGACCUUGAUCGUACCGUUUAAUAAUAGUUUUGUUUGGCUGGAAUUAAUAUUUUAUGAUUUUUGCACUCAGUGUUAUGGCUACUAAUGAAUAAUUCAAUGAUAUCUUCAUUUGUUGCUAAGCCAUUCCAUUGCAGUUUCUUUAAUCCUUCACAUACCUACAGGCUCUGGCAUGUUGUUUCCAACUUGUAAACAAAUAUCAAUUAAAUGAAGAAAUUUUACAUGAACUUUCUAAUAAUGCAGCCUUCUACAAAUGUCUGAGUAAAGAGGUACAUUUGUUUAUAUUUUUCCUUUUCGAUUCUUUUGUAUUAUAACUUGAUAAAAUAAGGUAAGUGCACCGAAUAUGGCCUGUUUCCCUAAUAUGGCCUAUUUACAGAAAAAAUACUUAGUUCAGAAAAAUCCAGCAGGUAGCACCACUGUACAGCAGAUAGUAUCGAAUGCUUCCAACUAACGGCAAGAGAAAGCGCCAAGGGCACAAUGACUCGCUACAGGACGUUCUUAUUGUGUUUUUAGAAGUUGGUUUACUAAGCCAUCUUAUUUACUAAUGAAAUGAAAAAAUAAAUU